UGCUUAUUCAAGGUUUCCAAC
ensembl:piRNA 21ur-5414 ncRNA